rnacentral:lncRNA from 1 species
CACCUUGGAGUUUGCUGGAAUCCACAUUCCCCACCAGACCCCAGGUUCCAGUGCUGUCAAGGCGUAUAAUGUCAUUAUCCAGACUCUCCUCAAUUCAGUUCAAGGGCACAGAUGAUUUGUAGACGUUCUCUCAAGUGAAAGCAGAAGCUGAAGCCUGGCUUGCUGAGGGGAAGAGAACAACUCAAUUUGGAAGAAGAGCUGAUUUCCCAGGAUACGGAGACCAGCAAAAACCAAACAGAGAAUUGCUGGAAGACUUGGAGUUCUGUGUACAUACCCUAAAGAGUUAGGAGUUUAAGCAGAUGUUUGCACACCUAUGUUCACUGGCAGCGCCUUGCAGUAACCGGAUGGUGGAAACUGCUGGGGAUUUGUUUAGAGACGAGUGCACAAGGAUUUCUCUGGGUGUCUUGGAAUUUGCUCUGAAGACCAACCAGGCUUGACUCAAACUCAGAAAUCCAUCUUUGCCUCCCAAACACUGGGAUCAAAGAAAGGGCAUCGCAGGACAGUGACCAUGAAGGCUGAAUGUGGACAGGAAAGCAAUGUCACACCACGAUAUGAUGGUGUUGUCUUUACUCUGGAGGAAGAAGAGAGAAGAUCAAGAAUUCAAGGUCAUCUUUGGAUAUAUAGAGAAUUUGAGGCUAACUUGGGCUACGAGGGAUCCUGGGUCUGAUAGGACUGGAACCUGUAGGAAGCCCACUACAGUUCUGCAACAAUGGAUGAGAAGACCUGGCCAGUUCCAACCCAGGCUCUGACCCAGGCAAGCUCCUUGAGACUAGAGGAUUUCAUCUGCUCUGGACACUGUCCCAAACAGCGCUUGGAUGCACAGUGCUUCCUUUAGAAGAACUUGUUUAGUUUCUGAACCGGAAACUUGUGGGAGAAUCUUGAAAUAGCCCCGGCUCAAGCUGUUUAUUUUUAGAAGCGUCCGUCGUCACUCCUGGGCGAUGCUUUGACUUGGAUUCUCUGGUGACAUCUUUUUAGCAUUGGUCAUUCCAGCCUGGGCUGUGGUUUCAGCACACUCCAAGUGUAAAGCUGACGGCAGCAUUUGAGCAGAGGGAAGUUAGGAGAGCUUUUAAAACUUGGAGAGCUUAUAAAAAAAAAAUCUACCAGUGCUGAGAAGAUAUAAAGGCACGUUAAUACCAAAGGUCAAAUGUAUGGCUUCUCUUAUCUUCUUCCUGACGAAGAAAUCACUUUUAAUCUAAAGAACAUGCCCCAGUAAUUUCCAAAUGUAAACAGAUGGGAUUUGAAAGCGGACGGAUUGACGUGCCUGUGUUUGCUCAACACAAACCAAUAAAAGAGAGCGGUCGUUC